rnacentral:rRNA from 1 species
GGCGGUUNGGAAGGAAAGAUGUGAAAUCCCAGAGNUUAACUUUGGAACUGCAUUUUUAACUACCGGGCUAGAGUGUNUCAGAGGGAGGUGGAAUUCCGCGUGUAGCAGUGAAAUGCGUAGAUAUGCGGAGGAACNCCGAUGGCGAAGGCAGCCUCCUGGGAUANCACUGACGCUCAUGCACGAAAGCGUGGGGAGCAAACAGGAUUAGAUACCCUGGUAGUNCACGCCCUAAACGAUGUCAACUAGCUGUUGGGGCCUUCGGGCCUUGGUAGCGCAGCUAACGCGUGAAGUUGACCGCCUGGGGAGUACGGUCGCAAGAUUAAAACUCAAAGGAAUUGACGGGGACCCGCACAAGCGGUGGAUGAUGUGGAUUAAUUCGAUGCAACGCGAAAAACCUUACCUACCCUUGACAUGUCUGGAAUGCCGAAGAGAUUUGGCAGUGCUCGCAAGAGAACCGGAACACAGGUGCUGCAUGGCUGUCGUCAGCUCGUGUCGUGGGAUGUUGGGUUAAGUCCCGCAACGAGCGCAACCCUUGUCAUUAGUUGCUACGAAAGGGCACUCUAAUGAGACUGCCGGUGACAAACUGGAGGAAGGUGGGGAUGACGUCAAGUCCUCAUGGCCCUUAUGGGUAGGGCUUCACACGUCAUACAAUGGUCGGGACAGAGGGUCGCCAACCCGCGAGGGGGAGCCAAUCCCAGAAACCCGAUCGUAGUCCGGAUCGCAGUCUGCAACUCGACUGAGUGAAGUCGGAAUCGCUAGUAAUCGCGGAUCAGCAUGUCGCGGUGAAUACGUUCCCGGGUCUUGUACACACCGCCCGUCACACCAUGGGAGUGGGUUUUACCAGAAGUAGU